rnacentral:rRNA from 1 species
UCCCAUCCCGAACACGGAAGUUAAGCCCCUCAGCGCCGAUGAUACUGCGGGGGAAACCCCGUGGGAAAGUAGGUCGCCGCCGAUC